GCACUGCUGAAGAGUCCCAUACUAGGACGAAACGGCCGUCCAGUGC
rfam:Schistosoma haematobium scaffold297_1, whole genome shotgun sequence.